UACGUAGGGGGCGAGCGUUGUCCGGAUUCAUUGGGCGUAAAGAGCUCGUAGGCGGUUUGGCAAGUCGGGUGUGAAAUCUCUGGGCUCAACUCAGAGAGGCCACUCGAUACUGCUAUGACUAGAGUCCGGUAGGGGACCAUGGAAUUCCUGGUGUAGCGGUGAAAUGCGCAGAUAUCAGGAGGAACACCGGUGGCGAAGGCAGCCUCCUGGGCCAACACUGACGCUCAUGCACGAAAGCGUAGGGAGCAAACAGG
rnacentral:rRNA from 1 species